GCCGCGGAGGCCGUGGGUCGCCGUGCGGAUGCUUCAUAAGAAGGCAUCGGGUGAGGAUCUAGUGGGGGAAGGAGGAGUGGAUGUCGGAGAAGAUGAUUGGAGACGGUCCCGUUGAGCGCUCCUUUAAGAACAAGGGUACUGCGAAGGUUCAAGCACCCCUUCCUCUAGCGCCAAUCCUGUUGGUGCAAAAAUCUGCCUGCACCGGAGAAGCUGGAGUCAAGGAAGUCGCGGUCACCGUCGGGACCUG
rnacentral:lncRNA from 1 species